rfam:Schistosoma haematobium scaffold67_21, whole genome shotgun sequence.
AUCUAGCCGACGAUUCCCAAAUAGGACGAAACGUGAAUCCUAGAU